GAUAGUGUAGAACAUGUUGAUGUAAAAUGCCGCCUUGUUUAUCUGUUUAAAAAUGAAAGGUUGUAAUUGGUCGAUGCACCAGUCAAGCCAAUGCGGAAAAUACCAGGUUUUAAAACUAUUAAUAGAAUAUGGAAAUCACCUAACAUUUCUGAAAACCUAGGAAUAUAUUUAGAUACAAACUCAACUAGUGCAGUUAAUGAUGGUGACAUGAUUAAAAAAAGUAAACCA
rnacentral:lncRNA from 1 species